GUGGAAGGCGGGCGCCGUGAGGAACCGGGAUGUCCGGCUGCUGGUACCUCGGGGUACCUUGUAACGUGCUGCUGGAUGACCAGUGUCAGCCCAAGGCUGCCGAAGUGCUCCCUGAAAGGCCACGUGUGGGACAACACUGUCUUCUUCAGUACCAUGCUGGGCAGAAGAUGGCUUUCAGCUGAUGGAGAACAGGAGUAGGAGCACAGCAAAC